rnacentral:lncRNA from 1 species
AAAUUACUACAAAAGAACAAAGUCUUAGACUUUUUUGUCAUUUCAUGUUUGUUUAGUUAAUUACCAUUAUACCCAUAUGUUUGGUUUGGUUUGAAUAUCUCGCCUCUGCCCUGAUUCCUUUUCUAAAACCAGUCACUCUUCCUUUCUUUUCUAUUCAUUUUGAACAAAUUUCUUCUUUUCAUUGUUAAUUGCUUUUAAAUCUGUUUUCUUUUUCUCCCGCAAGUCCAGUUAGAGUUUUUUUACCCAUAUUUCUGUUUCCCGC